GGUGGUCUUAUACAGCUAAUACGAAGGUUAGCAUCACAGCUUGUCUGUAAAGAUUGAAGCUGGGAGUGGGCAUUGGAGCUGACUUUUAUGGUAACUCUGGCUGCAUAAAAGGGCUAUGUGAUUUUACUGUAACAGUAAAGAAUGUAAUUCAGACUAUUUUUGUGUAUGUUUGAGAAAAUGUUUAUAAUUUUUACAAAAAGAAAAAAAAAAUUAUGUACAGGUUCUCCAUUUUCAACAAGAUUGGAAGAUGUAGGUUAAUAGGUCUUUGAAAUUUCAAAAAUUACUUUCUAUUUUCUGUUCAUACUCAUGUCUAGGCAAAACACUUCCAGUAGUUUAAGAAUGGAGAAUCUAAAAAAAAGAAAAAGAAAAAAAUGUUCAAUUAUUGAAAUGUAUUUUAUUUUUGCAAAUUGUAAUAUAUUUUUUCACCUUUGUGUCAUUUUUAGCUGAGUUUAUAACAAAGGGUAUAUUAUUUUAAGAAUAUUUUACAAGAAGCAUAGUUGAAGAAUAUCUUGAUGAAAGUAGAUUGAUUGAUUUUUGGUAUUUAACACCACUUUCAGCAUGAUUUGCUAUAUCUUGGCUGCCAGUUUUUAUUUGUGGAGACAGCCUGGUGAAAACAUCCCCUUCAACAGAGAAACUGGCAACUCUAGUCAAUUAAGAUUGACCUUAAACACACCUACAAUGUGAGGGUUCAGAGUGUUGACAGGCUAGUGAUACAGUAGUUGAACUACUUUG